rnacentral:rRNA from 1 species
CCUACGGGAGGCUGCAGUGGGGAAUAUUGCACAAUGGGCGAAAGCCUGACGCAGCGACGCCGCGUGAGGGAUGAAGGUCUUCGGAUCGUAAACCUCUGUCAGCAGGGAAGAACGGUCACUGUGCUAAUCAGCAGUGAAUUGACGGUACCUGCAAAGGAAGCACCGGCUAACUCCGUGCCAGCAGCCGCGGUAAUACGGAGGGUGCGAGCGUUAAUCGGAAUUACUGGGCGUAAAGCGCUCGUAGGCGGUAUGUCAAGUCAAGGGUGAAAUCCCCGUGCUCAACGUGGGAACUGCCUUUGAAACUGGCAAACUGGAGUGUGUGAGAGGAUAGUGGAAUUCCAGGUGUAGGAGUGAAAUGCGUAGAGAUCUGGAGGAACAUCAGUGGCGAAGGCGACUAUCUGGCACAUAACUGACGCUGAGGUGCGAAAGCGUGGGGAGCAAACAGGAUUAGAUGCCCUGGUAGUC